GACCCAAUAGCGAAAUUGGAAUCGCAUCCACCUCCUUUAUAAAAUUGCCUCCUUCGCGUCUAAAGUCUACCUGUGGAAGUCCCGCGUUCGAACCGAAGUUGAGUCA